UGGGGAAUAUUGCACAAUGGGCGCAAGCCUGAUGCAGCCAUGCCGCGUGUGUGAAGAAGGCCUUCGGGUUGUAAAGCACUUUCAGCGAGGAGGAAGGUGGUGGACUUAAUACGUUCAUCAAUUGACGUUACUCGCAGAAGAAGCACCGGCUAACUCCGUGCCAGCAGCCGCGGUAAUACGGAGGGUGCAAGCGUUAAUCGGAAUUACUGGGCGUAAAGCGCACGCAGGCGGUUUGUUAAGUCAGAUGUGAAAUCCCCGGGCUCAACCUGGGAACUGCAUUUGAAACUGGCAAGCUAGAGUCUCGUAGAGGGGGGUAGAAUUCCAGGUGUAGCGGUGAAAUGCGUAGAGAUCUGGAGGAAUACCGGUGGCGAAGGCGGCCCCCCUGGACGAAGACUGACGCUCAGGUGCGAAAGCGUGGGGAGCAAAACAGGAUUAGAUACCCUGGUAGUCCACGCUGUAAACGAUGUCGAUUUUGGAGGUUGUGCCCUUGAGGCGUGGCUUCCGGAGCUAACGCGUUAAAUCGACCGCCUGGGGAGUACGG
rnacentral:rRNA from 1 species